UCGCCGUAACAGGGGCGUCCGCCAUGUGCGGGCUGAGAAGGACCCUUUGAACCUGAACCGGAUCAUGCCGGCGGAGGAAGUUGCGGAGAUAGAUCC
rnacentral:ncRNA from 2 species